GAUGAACGCUGGCGGCGUGCUUAACACAUGCAAGUCGAACGGGAUCGGCUGGAGCUUGCUCCGGCCGUGAGAGUGGCGAACGGGUGAGUAAUGCGUGACCGACCUGCCCCAUACACCGGAAUAGCUCCUGGAAACGGGUGGUAAUGCCGGAUGCUCCGACAUGACGCAUGUCGUGUUGGGAAAGAUUCAUCGGUAUGGGAUGGGGUCGCGUCCUAUCAGGUAGUCGGCGGGGUAACGGCCCACCGAGCCUACGACGGGUAGCCGGCCUGAGAGGGCGACCGGCCACAUUGGGACUGAGAUACGGCCCAGACUCCUACGGGAGGCAGCAGUGGGGAAUAUUGCACAAUGGGCGCAAGCCUGAUGCAGCGACGCCGCGUGCGGGAUGACGGCCUUCGGGUUGUAAACCGCUUUUGACUGGGAGCAAGCCCUUCGGGGUGAGU
rnacentral:rRNA from 1 species